rnacentral:rRNA from 1 species
UGGGGAAUAUUGCACAAUGGGCGCAAGCCUGAUGCAGCCAUGCCGCGUGUAUGAAGAAGGCCUUCGGGUUGUAAAGUACUUUCAGCGGGGAGGAAGGGAGUAAAGUUAAUACCUUUGCUCAUUGACGUUACCCGCAGAAGAAGCACCGGCUAACUCCGUGCCAGCAGCCGCGGUAAUACGGAGGGUGCAAGCGUUAAGCGGAAUUACUGGGCGUAAAGCGCACGCAGGCGGUUUGUUAAGUCAGAUGUGAAAUCCCCGGGCUCAACCUGGGAACUGCAUCUGAUACUGGCAAGCUUGAGUCUCGUAGAGGGGGGUAGAAUUCCUGGUGUAGCGGUGAAAUGCGUAGAGAUCUGGAGGAAUACCAGUGGCGAAGGCGGCCCCCUGGACGAAGACUGACGCUCAGGUGCGAAAGCGUGGGGAGCAAACAGG